CUAUGACCAGAAGGUAAUAUGGAAGGGAUGAGUAACUCUAUCUCUGCUGUCUUUGUGACCAGAUGUUCAACUCUGUACAACCCUGGCUGGAUAAUCCAGGCAGAUCACAACCUGAGUCCCUCCUUGGCUCUCUCCACAUUGGCACACUGUCACAUUCUCAUUCAGUUGAAAGCUCUGCCGGGGCGCCUCCUGGGAACAGACUCAACAACAGCCAAGGACCGUUUCACACUGUGCCAUUUUCUCUCUGAUGUCAGAGGAUUUGUAGUGGACCUCCAGAGCUUUCUACUCAGUGAAGAUAUCUGGUGUUCCUCCAACCAAGGGCAUUGAUUGACUUCUGCUAUGCUUUGAGUGAAGCUCCAAAGUCUUCAAGGUAGUGGAUGACAGUGUUGAUUUAGGACAAGAGGCAUGGGACUCAGUACUACCUGUACUACGUGGUUGCAGAUCAUUAAGCUCUCAGCCAGGGAUCCACUAAGGAAACCACAGUGGGAAAACAGGUUAUCAAAGACCAGGACACCAGCGUAUAAACCGUGCACAUCGGGACUGUCCUCAAGGGGACGAUGGUGUUGCAAGAUUGCAGAAAACUGCAUUUGCGGCUCCCAUUUUGUCUGAGCCUAAACUACCCUCCUGAACUCCCGUCCACCUUUAAAGCACUCCAGGUUGUCAUGGAGCUAUAAAGCAACUCACUCACCAGGAUCAGUAUCAAAGACUAUCAGUGUGCUGUUACCAAUGUGUUAGGGCGAGACGGACAGGAUGCAGUUUUCCAUGUUCACCGUCUUGGAUUAUUGCUAUAUACUUAUUAAAAAUAUAUAUAUAUGCAUGGAAAAACCCUAAAUUUGUUUGACCUGCACUGUUAUUGUAAUGUUUUGCAUUCAGGCUCUGGGUGGAUUCUAAGUCCAAUAUCUAAGUUGUACAAUAUUCUUUGACCAAAUACAAAUAAUUUUUGUGCAA